CACAAGCGGUGGAUGAUGUGGAUUAAUUCGAUGCAACGCGAAAACCUUACCUACCUUGACAUGUCCGGAAUCCCGAAGAGAUUUGGGAGUGCUCGAAAGAGAACCUGCACACAGGUGCUGCAUGGCUGUCGUCAGCUCGUGUCGUGAGAUGUUGGGUUAAGUCCCGCAACGAGCGCAACCCUUGCCAUUAGUUGCUACGAAAGGGCACUCUAAUGGGACUGCCGGUGACAAACCGGAGGAAGGUGGGGAUGACGUCAAGUCCUCAUGGCCCUUAUAGGUGGGGCUACACACGUCAUACAAUGGCCGGUACAGAGGGUAGCCAACCCGCGAGGGGGAGCCAAUCCCACAAAGCCGGUCGUAGUCCGGAUCGCAGUCUGCAACUCGACUGCGUGAAGUCGGAAUCGCUAGUAAUCGCGGAUCAGCAUGUCGCGGUGAAUACGUUCCCGGGUCUU
rnacentral:rRNA from 1 species